UUUAUACUUCGAAUUUUGGUCGCGUCGAAUGCAAUUAAGACAAUAGAUAAUGAGAUGAUAAACCUCAUUAAGCUUCAUUAUCUAUUGUUUGAAUUGCAUUCGACGCGUCCGAAAUUCGACGUAUAAA
rnacentral:miRNA from 1 species